UGGACAGGGCCCUACUUGAAGGGACUGGAUCUUGAAGCCAUGACCUCAUGACUGUGUCUGGCCCCUGGCCUCUAUCUUUCUGGCUCUUCCUUUCUGUCCCUGUUUCCUGGCUGCCAUAAGGGAAACAGCUUUCCUUCACCACACCCUUCUGGCAUAAUGUUUCUGCCUGACACAGGCCUAGAAGUAAUGGAGCCAUGUAACCAAGGACUGAAACCUCGGACUGAAACCUCUGAAACUAGGCAGCUAUGGGAUUUGGCGACUCCAGCUCAGCAGUUGACAGGAAACUCAAGCGUGGUCUCAUGUGGCUCAGGGGCCACACUCAGAGUUCCCCUAAGCAACCCUGCACGAACCACCAGCCCCAACUCACACA
rnacentral:lncRNA from 1 species